UUGAUGCGCCUGAUGGAGAAAACGCCAGUAUUCGUUGACCCGUUUGGGGCAACUGACACAAAUUUAAAGUUGCCAGGAAACGACCAGAGCGUGGUGAUUGGGAGGUGGGGAUGUAUACAUUCCUCACCCAAGACAGCAGGAUGGAACGUCAUGUGGAGUUCUUGUGUGCAUGGCCGAAUCUGAUAAAGAAAUCAGGAGUUUUUCCAGCCUGACGCCACCAUAGAGUGGAGGUCACAGGAGUUUGGGGUCGUUUGUCCAGCCGGUUUCCAUUUCCAAGCGAGGCGCACCGCUGAAGGCCAAGGUCAGAGGGCCACCCCGUCAUCAAAGCAACGACACCCUUAGUAUGUCACCCUGCCUACCGUGCUAUUUUACCCCCCCAACAAGGACAAUUGUCCUACUUCAUCUGGGAGCGCCAACCUCCGUGGAAAGUUCCAACGGGGUGGUGCAGCUGGAAACCCAAACGAAGUCCGCCUUAUGGGAAACGAACAGCCAGAGCUGCGAUUGUAUCAUGUUGAAGUUCUUGUUCCAGCUCCAUCCUUGCGCACGUUGAGAGGAAAAGUUUGAGCACACCCAGACCCCCUUUUUCAACGCUCCCAUUCCCUCCCACCUCUGCAUCGUUGGAGCAACCGAAGUCCAAGCGAAACGUUGUGCAACGCUCAGACUUUGUUUCGUUUGACAGUAACCUCCUAACGUUACUGUCAAAGACGACUAGGGAGCUUUAAACAGGAAAAUCAAACGUUUACAGCUAGAAACCCUUCUGGUUCCUUUUCACCAGCAGACUUUGAGUGAUCCUAAUAGAUUUGUGUUAUAAAACCCCUUAAGCUUUCAGCGCCGAACGCACAAUUGCUGGGCCAGGCGUUUCCGAGAGCGUAUCCAUAAUCCAACGCGCAAUCCCCCAAAAAAAGACGAAUUCUCGUUUGUAGCGGGUUCAGAACCGCAUGUUUGUGUGUCAACCCCCGUCCCGAUAGGAAUAAGUUGAGGAGUUUCCACGGAUUCCAAAGCCUCCCGGCUUCAACAAAAACAUCUGUGGUUUGGAUUAGACACGUCGGUGAUAUCAUCUCUUCACUAACAUGCCUGUGUUAUAGCAAUCUUACAGCCAGUCCUUAUUGUCUGUGAAGUUUAUGCAGGCGCACGAUCCAACACAAAUGAUGAUCAGCGCUGCAGGACAAGUUCUCUGGCAGCAGCCGUACGCUCCAAUUCAUUUGCUCCUGAUGUUUUAUUUGCUUCAUAUUUUCUGAGGUCACACUGGCAACUUCGGUUCAGCGUUUCUGAAAAGUCCCGCAAAAUCCUCCACUUACGUAAAUGUCAACAUUCUAGACAAAUAAUGUUUGAUUAGAAGAAGAGGAGGGUUUUUUUGUUUGUUUGUUUGUUUUUUUGCUGUGAUGCUGGAGAGUUUGGUCGUUCCACAAUCUUGUCAAAGGGCAUAAAUCAGAUUUAAUUUUUUUAGUUGUACUUUGGUUUGAAUCUCAGAGGAGUGAUGCUUAAAAGAUAAAAAUCAACGUAAAAGGAAUUUUAAGACAACAAAAGUUGCCGAAGAGUGAUAAUAUUUGGUAGGGUUACCCGAGUAACAUUUUG